rnacentral:lncRNA from 1 species
AAACAUGAUAGGGGAGGUGAGAAAAGAAAAAGAAAAGAAUGAAAAAGAGAGAGAUAACAAAAAAAUAAGAGAAAAAGGAAAAAAGCUUAGAGAAAGACUAAAAUAAUCAAUCAUACUGCAUUAGCAUAUGGCAUAUGUCAUGCAUACCCAACCACCCAUAUACCCAUCUACCAUAUAACAUUUUGAUUCCCAGCAGCUGCCCUGCAC